rnacentral:rRNA from 1 species
AUUGAACGCUGGCGGUAGGCCUAACACAUGCAAGUCGAGCGAGCGGCGGACGGGUGAGUAAUGUAUGGGGACUGCCCGAUAGAGGGGGAUAACUACUGGAAACGGUGGCUAAUACCGCCUACUGUCGGAUAACCCAUAUGGGAUUAGCUAGUAGGUAAGGUAAUGGCUUACCUAGGCGACGAUCCCUAGCUGGUCUGAGAGGAUGAUCAGCCACACUGGGACUGAGACACGGCCCAGACUCCUACGGAGGCAGCAGGGGGGAAUAUUGCACAGUGGGCGCAAGCCUGAUGCAGCCAUGCCGCGUGUAUGAAGAAGGCCCUAGGGUUGUAAAGUACUUUCAGUCGGGAGGCGUUGCCGACAGAAGAAGCACCGGCUAACUCCGAGCGAGCAGCCGCGGUAAUUC